rnacentral:rRNA from 1 species
UACAGAGGUCUCAAGCGUUGUUCGGAUUCAUUGGGCGUAAAGGGUGCGUAGGUGGCGCCGUAAGUCAGGUGUGAAAUUUCGGAGCUUAACUCCGAAACUGCAUUUGAUACUGCGGUGCUUGAGGACUGGAGAGGAGACUGGAAUUCACGGUGUAGCAGUGAAAUGCGUAGAUAUCGUGAGGAAGACCAGUGGCGAAGGCAGCUCGCUGGGACGUUACUGACGCUGAGAACGCGGAAAGCGUGGGGGAG